AUCGUCUCUUCCAAGCACUACGAGUCCUCUCCUCUUCCAGGUCCAUUCCAUCCUCUUUCUGACCUUUAUAGUGACACCCCGCCCCCACGACGAAGACUGUGCUGAGAACUUCAGUCAAUACAGCUGUUCAAGUUGGAGAUGUCUGAAGAGAGGAACCCUCUCAGUGGGCAGCCCCAAGGGAACUGGUCCUUUCUCAGCCUCUGCUCAGCAGGCCUGAACUGAGCGUCUGUGUAGAACACCAGGCCAGAGCCGCCCUUCUCCCACUUCAGCUCAAUCUCCUCCUCAAAGAGCCGCUCAGUGGUGCGCUCCUGCCCAGUCACGUCCUCGUGCAGUGCUUCGUGA